GAUGAGCUUAAUUUUAUGCGAUGAAAAGGUUCAAGUUUGGGGUUGCAUGGGGAAAAAAAAGGCAAGUGAAAAGCAUUGAGCUCAAAUGUUGUGAAAAGAAAAAAUCAUGAGAAAAAGAAAAGAAAAGAAGAAAAGAAUGAAGAUGAGCUCAAUGAAAAAGAAAAAGGGAAAGAGUUGGGAAUGAAUGAGAUUGGUGAGGAAGAGAGUUGUCCUUAAAUGAUGAAUAUUAUUAUAGCUCUUUUAACUCAAGGACUCUGCAUUCCGGAAAAACCAAUUUUUCUUGUUAACCCAACCUUAUUACAAGCCUUGGAAAAGUCCUUUUGAUGAC
rnacentral:lncRNA from 1 species